UAUAUACUCCCUCCGUCCGGAAAUACUUGUCAUCAAAAUGGAUAAAAGGGAUGUAUCUAGAUGUAUUUUCGUUUUAGAUACAUCCCUUUUUGUCCAUUUUGAUGACAAGUAUUUUCGGACGGAGGGAGUAUAAU
rnacentral:pre_miRNA from 1 species